CCCGAAGUGUGGAGUUUUAUGCUACCCUCUUUAACUGGCACUACAUUUCGACGUUAUCCCCCAUCACCUAAUCACCGUUUUCGCAAAACGUCUGCUGUGCACACGUGGGAGCCCUCAGGGAGGAUGCCGAUGCUUGCACGAUUUCUUUUACUGUCCUUCUCUGGGUGACAGCUGGAAGAUGAGUUCCACCCAUCAGAGGGAAAGGCGAUAAACCAGUUAUCCAAGAGGUCAUACUGGCCUCUAUCACGUCAGGCUUGCAGAGGGCGAGGAAGAUGUCGUUCCACUCUGACAGCGCUGUGACGGACACAGAUGGCCUGGCCUGUUCCUGAAUUACUCUGAAGGUUGUCCUCUACACUGGCUCCCUCCUGAUUCACCUAUUCCAAGAAGCUUCAGCCAGACAGCAAAUGCCGCAAUGGCAGAUGUGGUGACAGAUUAUAUACAAUGGCUUGAUGCCUUUUUAGUAAAUACAACUGCUACUCUAAAAUGCCUCUUUCUGGGAUGGAUGAGCCAUGUAGUUGCUUGCUAUGCCUCUAGAAAAAUGACCAAUUAGAAUUCCACCCUCAGGGCAGCUGUAUAGUUUGCAUAACCCUAAUUCCUAAUGCUGUCCCUCACUCCCAUCUUUAUACACAUAUGCACACAAAGGAUGCUCAGUAAAUAUUUGAAGACUACAUAUGUUUAGAAGAACCUUUUAUUGCCACUAACUUGUCACGAGGGCUCCCAUAAAUUAGCGAUGAUUGGCCUAAUGUGGCUAUCAAUGUUGAAAAACUGACAGUUUGUUUUCCCUCUGGUUUCUUUUAUUUUUAGCAGAGUCCCUGGAGUGGAUUCCCUGGUGUUCAUUCAAAUCCUAAACAUCUACAUGUUAUAUCCACUUGUCUCAGAGCAUAAUGUUUCACACUUUCACCAUUAAAGCAUUAAUUUCCCUCUCUGUACCCUUCCACUGUGUGCGAGUGCCUCACUGGCUACCUAUCAGUAUCCAUCCCCAGAGAGAAGCUGCUCCAGCAGUGGGAGGGUGAGUCUGUAACCCUUCUAGAUAGGGAUUUCUGAAACUUUGGCCUCUUGCAUCAAUCCCAGAGGGAGGAAAGGGGCUCAGUGUGGGGCAGACCAUCCUUUUCCUGCCUGUAUUUAACAGAGUGGGGGGUGGGAUGCACUGACCUACCUGGGGCAUCGCCUUCAGAGAUUCUGCUAAUGAGCAGAAAUGCCAGAGGCUCUGACCAUAUCCCAAUUAGCCUCAGUGUGAAACCCCUAAUGUCCCUUUACACUCAGAGUAGAUGCUUUAUUUCGUUUUGCAGUUCGUGCUUCAGUUCGUGCCUGCAGUGACAGCGGCAUGAAGGGUUAAUAAAGAAUGUCACCAGGAACCUUCUAGAACAUUUGUUGUAGAUGAGGUAAGAUGCCAUGUGAGGGCUGUGUGUUGUUUGUCCUGCGUUUGUUUUCUGCUCGUUCUGAUGAGCAGUGCCGCGGCAGCAGAGUGCAGGGCGCAAUGAUCGCCCUCAGUUUCUUUGUGUCUUCCUACCUAUACACCACUCUUUCAUUUUCUGUACUUCAAUUCAUGACG